ACUUAAUACUUCAAGUGUAAUUUUCAGAUAAAUAGAUUAAAUUCUGAAAUAUGUUUUGUAUUUAGUAAAAUGGGUCUGGCAUGUUAAAUUUUAUUUGAAAAUUAUGCUCUGAAAUCCGUAAACUAUGACUGAAAAAUUUAUGAAAUCUGUUUAUAUAUAUAUAUAUUCUCAGCAUGGCUAUGAUCUGUUCUGUUCUGUUCUGGCCCCGCCAAUGGGGAUUAUACGUUGGACCUGUCGACUUGUAUUCUGUGAGGAACCGGUUCGACACCGCGCCACCG
rnacentral:lncRNA from 1 species